ensembl:lncRNA
CUGAUUAAGGCUGCUAUCAAAAGAGAGGGGGAGAAGAAAGAAGACGUGAACGGCAUGAACGAGGGAAGGAGAGAGGGAGGGAUGGAAAGAGGGAUGGAGGGAGGGAAUUAAAAAAGCAGAACGUUUACUUAAACCCAAAUACGCUAAAGAACAGCUCGUGUCUUCUCUUAUCUCUCUCUGUUAUUACAGAGUUGCUGGGUUACAGGAACUACGUCUGCCAUUUCUCAAUCCAUGACCCCACAGAGCUGUGUAUGUGUGUGUGUGUGUGUGUGUGUGUGUGUGUGUGUGUGUGUGUGUGUCCACAAGGAAACGAAUAACUGUUUUAACCUUGUUGGGACAUCUGGCUGAUCCUCAUGAGGAAAAGAGUUCUUUUUUUUAAAUAAAAAAUAAUAAUAAAUAAACGAGCCACAAGGUUUCCUUCAAUAAUAAUGAAUAAUGAAUAAGUGUGUGUGUGUGUGUGUGUGUGUGUGCGUGUUUGUGUGUGUGUGUGUUGCAAGUUGUGUAGAGCUGCCUGCUUAUUUGAUAAGAACUCGUCCGUCCUGAAGAAAAAUAAACAGGCCGGCGUGCAUCAAGAGCUGCUGCUACUGGAGCACAACACAAUAUUUACACGACAAUACACACUCUUCUCACUGCCACUUACUCACACACACACACACACACACACACACUUCAGUUGAGACACUUUGUCAGGUGUAUGAAGUUUUGCAGUGUGGAAAUAAUCACGAGUGCAUUUGUGACUGUUUUACUGCCACAAGCAGCAUCAUUUCAAGCAACAUCACUUAAAAACAACAACAAAAAACAUUUCCAUAUUUUUUUUUCUCCCAACAUGAGUUUAUUGAAUAAUUACAUAAUAAUCAUUUAAAAAAUACCGGACAGAAUUAAACCAAUGAACUGCUUUUCAAAUGUAACUUUUGAAAUGAAUCUUAUUUGUGCUGUUAAAAUGCUGCCAUAUUAAACAUCAUCGAGUAAAUAUGGUGUCAUUUUUGUAAAAAAUACAAAAAUGUCCCGGUGUUCCAGUCAUUAUCUGAUUUCAUUCAUCUUCCAAUAGUAAAAUAAACAGCCAAUCAUGAUCAUCUUAGCUAUCGAGAUAUUUAAAAAAAAAAAAAAAAAAAAAAAACUAACCAAAAAAGCCUGAUAGAUGCCUGGAUUUUACUCGGAUUAAUUGCUCUUAAUGCAAUCUGAUAUCUUUUAAUUUUUCCACAUUUAGGAAACCGGACAUUUUGAUCGGGAUUACUGAAGUGCAUGUCAUAAAACCCAGAUUAUUUUACGUGUGUAAAAAUGGCCACUUGAGCAAGGCUUUUAAUAUACAUUUGCUCAAGAUCAAAUCUACACUUUGGAUUGGAUUCUGCUUCACUUUACAACAUGUGUUUCUGUAGAUAUGAGAGAGAGAGAGAGAGAGAGAGAGAGAGAGAGAGAGAGAGAGAGAGAGAGAGAGAGAGAGAGAGGAAGAAAGGGUAACAGUGUGGCUUGUGUUUGUUUAUUUGUGAUAAUGUGCUUGUGUCGGUCCAUCUGGAACCCUGCCUUUGACUCUGAGUGACAGAUAGAGAUCAGAGACACUCUUAUCAGGUCAGCAGCUCGGGGAUCGGCCUGGCUUUUCCAUUCUGGGAAAGUUGUGACCAGAUGCCAUUAAGAUGGCAUGUUACAGUGGGCAUACCAAGUCUUUACCAGCAUACAGCAUAGAUAUACGUCCUACUUGCAGAUCUUGACCUAUGAUACUUUGCUAUUCUAUGAACUGCGCUUUAGUGCUGAAAAGUUUAUUUUGCUGUUACACACUACUGAAAAGUUUAUUUUGCUGUUACACACUACUGAAAAGUUUAUUUUGCUGUUACACACUACUGAAAAGUUUGUUUUGCUGUUACACACUACUGAAAAGUUUUUUGUUUUGUUACACACUACUGAAAAGUUUGUUUUGCUGUUACACACUACUGAAAAGUUUGUUUUCCUGAUGUACAGAAGUGUGGC